rnacentral:rRNA from 1 species
UACGUAGGGUGCAAGCGUUGUCCGGAAUUAUUGGGCGUAAAGAGCUCGUAGGCGGUUUGUCGCGUCGGCUGUGAAAACUCGGGGCUCAACCCCGAGCCUGCAGUCGAUACGGGCAAACUAGAGUGCGGUAGGGGAGACUGGAAUUCCUGGUGUAGCGGUGAAAUGCGCAGAUAUCAGGAGGAACACCGGCGGCGAAGGCGGGUCUCUGGGCCAUAACUGACGCUGAGGAGCGAAAGCGUGGGGAGCGAACAGG